rnacentral:rRNA from 1 species
GACGGAGGGCGCAAGCGUUGUUCGGAAUUACUGGGCGUAGAGCGCGCGCAGGCGGGAAGGUAAGUCUGGAGUGAAAUUCCGGGGCUCAACUCCGGAGCUGCUUUGGAUACUGUCUUUCUAGGGACCGGUAGAGGCCGGUGGAAUUCCCGGUGUAGCGGUGGAAUGCGUAGAGAUCGGGAAGAACACCCGUGGCGAAGGCGGCCCACUGGCUCGAUACUGACGCUGAGGUGCGAAAGCGUGGGGAGCGAACAGG